rnacentral:rRNA from 1 species
CCUACGGGAGGCAGCAGUGGGGAAUAUUGGACAAUGGGGGCAACCCUGAUCCAGCCAUGCCGCGUGUGUGAAGAAGGCCCUCGGGUUGUAAAGCACUUUCAGUGAGGAAGAACGCCUGGUGGUUAAUACCCAUCAGGAAAGACAUCACUCACAGAAGAAGCACCGGCUAACUCCGUGCCAGCGGCCGCGGUAAUACGGAGGGUGCGAGUGUUAAUCGGAAUUACUGGGCGUAAAGCGCGCGUAGGUGGCUUGAUAAGCCGGUUGUGAAAGCCCCGGGCUCAACCUGGGAACGGCAUCCGGAACUGUCAAGCUAGAGUGCAGGAGAGGAAGGUAGAAUUCCCGGUGUAGCGGUGAAAUGCGUAGAGAUCGGGAGGAAUACCAGUGGCGAAGGCGGCCUUCUGGACUGACACUGACACUGAGGUGCGAAAGCGUGGGUAGCAAACAGGAUUAGAUACCCCUGUAGUC